CCCUACGCCGGCAGGCGCGGGUAACCCGUUGAACCCCAUUCGUGAUGGGGAUCGGGGAUUGCAAUUAUUCCCCAUGAACGAGGAAUUCCCAGUAAGUGCGGGUCAUAAGCUUGCGUUGAUUAAGUCCCUGCCCUUUGUACACACCGCCCGUCGCUACUACCGAUUGGAUGGUUUAGUGAGGCCCUCGGAUCGGCCCCGCCGGGGUCGGCCCACGGCCCCUGGCGGAGCGCUGAGAAGACGGUCGAGCUGAC
rnacentral:rRNA from 1 species